AUUGAACGCUGGCGGCAGGCCUAACACAUGCAAGUCGAACGGCAGCACAGAAGAGCUUGCUCUUUGGGUGGCGAGUGGCGGACGGGUGAGUAAUGUCUGGGAAACUGCCCGAUGGAGGGGGAUAACUACUGGAAACGGUAGCUAAUACCGCAUAACGUCGCAAGACCAAAGUGGGGGACCUUCGGGCCUCACACCAUCGGAUGUGCCCAGAUGGGAUUAGCUAGUAGGUGGGGUAAUGGCUCACCUAGGCGACGAUCCCUAGCUGGUCUGAGAGGAUGGCCAGCCACACUGGAACUGAGACACGGUCCAGACUCCUACGGGAGGCAGCAGUGGGGAAUAUUGCACAAUGGGCGCAAGCCUGAUGCAGCCAUGCCGCGUGUAUGAAGAAGGCCUUCGGGUUGUAAAGUACUUUCAGCGGGGAGGAAGGCGGUGAGGUUAAUAACCUCGCCGAUUGACGUUACCCGCAGAAGAAGCACCGGCUAACUCCGUGCCAGCCGCCGCCGUAAGAC
rnacentral:rRNA from 1 species